rnacentral:rRNA from 1 species
GACGAACGCUGGCGGCGUGCUUAACACAUGCAAGUCGAACGGAAAGGCCCUGCUUUUGUGGGGUGCUCGAGUGGCGAACGUGUGAGUAACACGUGAGUAACCUGCCCUUGACUUUGUGAUAACUUCAGGAAACUGGGGCUAAUACCGGAUAGGAGCUCCUGCUGCAUGGUGGGGGUUGGAAAGUUUCGGCGGUUGGGGAUGGACUCGCGGCUUAUCAGCUUGUUGGUGGGGUAGUGGCUUACCAAGGCUUUGACGGAUAGCCGGCCUGGGAGGGUGAACGGCCACAUUGGGACUGAGGGACGGCCCAGACUCCUACGGGAGGCAGCGGUGGGGAGUAUUGCACAAUGGGCGGAAGCCUGAUGCAGCAACGCCGCGUGCGGGAUGACGGCCUUCGGGUUGUAAACCGCUGUCGCCUGUGACGAAGCGUGAGUGACGGUAAUGGGUAAAGAAGCACCGGCUAACUACGUG